rnacentral:rRNA from 1 species
UGGGGAAUUUUGCGCGAUGGGGGAAACCCUGACGCAGCAACGCCGCGUGGAGGAUGAAGUAUCUUGGUACGUAAACUCCUUUCGAUGGGGAAGAUUAUGACGGUACCCAUAGAAGAAGCCCCGGCUAACUUCGUGCCAGCAGCCGCGGUAAUACGAGGGGGGCAAGCGUUGUUCGGAUUUAUUGGGCGUAAAGGGUGCGUAGGCGGUUUGAUAAGUCUGGUGUGAAAUCUAUGGGCUCAACCCAUAGUCUGCACUAGAAACUGUCGGGCUUGAGUAUGGGAGAGGUGAGUGGAAUUUCCGGUGUAGCGGUGAAAUGCGUAGAUAUCGGAAGGAACACCUGUGGCGAAAGCGGCUCACUGGACCAUAACUGACGCUGAGGCACGAAAGCUAGGGGAGCAAAC